rnacentral:tRNA from 1 species
GGUAAAAUGGCUGAUAAUAGGCGAUAAAUUGUAAAUUUAUUUAUGAAUAAAUAUUCUUUUACCA